AGUGAACGCUGGCGGUAGGCCUAACACAUGCAAGUCGAACGGCAGCACAGUAAGAGCUUGCUCUUACGGGUGGCGAGUGGCGGACGGGUGAGGAAUACAUCGGAAUCUACUUUUUCGUGGGGGAUAACGUAGGGAAACUUACGCUAAUACCGCAUACGACCUACGGGUGAAAGCAGGGGAUCUUCGGACCUUGCGCGACUGAAUGAGCCGAUGUCGGAUUAGCUAGUUGGCGGGGUAAAGGCCCACCAAGGCGACGAUCCGUAGCUGGUCUGAGAGGAUGAUCAGCCACACUGGAACUGAGACACGGUCCAGACUCCUACGGGAGGCAGCAGUGGGGAAUAUUGGACAAUGGGCGCAAGCCUGAUCCAGCCAUACCGCGUGGGUGAAGAAGGCCUUCGGGUUGUAAAGCCCUUUUGUUGGGAAAGAAAAGCAGCAGGUUGAUACCCCGCUGUUCUGACGGUACCCAAAGAAUAAGCACCGGCUAACUUCGUG
rnacentral:rRNA from 1 species